rnacentral:rRNA from 1 species
GGGUGCGAUCAUACCAGCAAUAACGCACCGGAUCCCAUCAGUACUUCGAAGUUAAGCUUGCUUGGGCGAGAGCAGUACUAGGAUGGGUGACCUCCUGGGAAGUCCUCGUGUUGCACCCCG